UUUGUUUUCGCAAAUGUACACACCUACAUACAUACAAUACAAAUCUACAUGUGUGCCUACUUGUAAAUAAAUUUAAAAAUGCCGAAAAUGUGUGGGUGGGCGACGAACUAACGGAGAAAUUAAAGUCCAAUGCCAACUCCAGAUUGUUUCAGUGGUAGGAAGAUGAAAACGUUUUUACAAUUCACUAUUUGUAUCUUUACAGCUCCAUAUGUACAUAUGCACAUGUAUGUAAGUACACGUAGCCAUGUAAAUAUGUAUAUUCACUUUUUGAUACCAUUUCAUGACUCCGACCACUGGGCGACUCGUUAGGCAAGUGCAGGAGAUCGCACUUUGAGGCCCAGUCUCUCUUUUGAGGAAAACGAACAAAUACAGGAGAGACUUGACAAGCAAGUACUUAUGCAUACUGCAAAAAUGUACAAACGUAUACAUAUGUAUGUCUUCUAUACGUACAAAACAAAACAAAUAUUUAAGUGUAUGUAGCUAAAAAUAUGUAAAUACAUACAUAUGUACAUAUGUAUGCUUAUAUCAUAAAUCUAGAUAUGCAAUUUUGACACUGUUUGUAUUGUUUGGUAAUAUUUUUUUUCGUAAAAUACCACUUAGUCGAAACUUAGUGCAUAUAAAAAUUUAGAACUAUUACCAUCCUUCCUGUGCUAUGGUAAUGUUUCUUCUUGAAAGCAGUGCCACGAUUCAUGGAUUGAACGCUCUGAAUAAUAUCAGCAAUUCUUAAAUGACGACAAGGGUAGAAAUCAUGGCGAUGAGGACACGGCCUCUUUUUUCCCCCCUUUUCUUCAAGGACGCAUAACUCGAUGAAAAAAAAUUUUUUUUUUUUGAAAUUUAAUUUGUGUACUCUUCUAAGUUUAAUAA